UACGUAGGGUGCAAGCGUUGUCCGGAAUUAUUGGGCGUAAAGAGCUCGUAGGCGGUUUGUCGCGUCUGCUGUGAAAUCCCAGGGCUUAACCCUGGGCCUGCAGUGGGUACGGGCAAACUAGAGUGCGGUAGGGGAGAUCGGAAUUCCUGGUGUAGCGGUGAAAUGCGCAGAUAUCAGGAGGAACACCGGUGGCGAAGGCGGACCUCUGGGCCGUAACUGACGCUGAGGAGCGAAAGCAUGGGUAGCGAACAGG
rnacentral:rRNA from 1 species